rnacentral:ncRNA from 1 species
UAGGGUAGAGGCGCGAUUGACAUCAGUAACUUUAUACAAUGCCGGCAAGCAGUAUAUAGUAAAAGGGGAUAUCGCCGAAAGAAUAUGAUUUUUGCCGAUUUUAUGUUCUUGGAACAUCUGUUAACAACAGUUGUUUUGUCAUUAUUUGUGUAAUGGAGAGCUAG